CAGUCGCCGCGGGAAUACGUAGGGUGCAAGCGUUAAUCGGAAUUACUGGGCGUAAAGCGUGCGCAGGCGGUUAUAUAAGACAGAUGUGAAAUCCCCGGGCUCAACCUGGGAACUGCAUUUGUGACUGUAUAGCUAGAGUACGGCAGAGGGGGAUGGAAUUCCGCGUGUAGCAGUGAAAUGCGUAGAUAUGCGGAGGAACACCGAUGGCGAAGGCAAUCCCCUGGGCCUAUACUGACGCUAAUGCACGAAAGCGUGGGGAGCAAACAGGAUUAGAGACCCCAGUAGUCCCUGUCUCUUAUAC
rnacentral:rRNA from 1 species